GAUGAACGCUGGCGGCGUGCCUAAUACAUGCAAGUCGAGCGGCAGCGCGAGUAGUUUACUACUUGGCGGCGAGCGGCGGACGGCUGAGUAACACGUAGGAACGUACCCCGAAGUGAGGGAUAACUGCUCGAAAGAGUAGCUAAUACCGCAUGUGAUCUAAGGAUUAAAGCUUUAUGCGCUUUGGGAACGGCCCGCGUCCGAUUAGCUAGUUGGUGAGGUAAAAGCUUACCAAGGCGACGAUCGGUAGCUGGUCUGAGAGGAUGAUCAGCCAGACUGGGACUGAGACACGGCCCAGACUCCUACGGGAGGCAGCAGUAGGGAAUUUUCCACAAGGGGCGAAAGCCUGAUGGAGCAACGCCGCGUGCAGGAUGAAUGCCUUCGGGUUGUAAACUGCUUUUAUAUGUGACGAUUGUGACGGUAGCAUAGGAAUAAGGAUCGGCUAACUCCGUGCCAGCCGCCGCAGUAA
rnacentral:rRNA from 1 species